rnacentral:rRNA from 1 species
GGGUUGUGAGGUUAAGCGACUAAGCGUACACGGUGGAUGCCCUGGCAGUCAGAGGCGAUGAAGGACGUGCUAAUCUGCGAUAAGCGUCGGUAAGGUGAUAUGAACCAUUAUAACCGGCGAUUUCCGAAUGGGGAAACCCAGUGUGAUUCGUCACACUAUCAUUAACUGAAUCCAUAGGUUAAUGAGGCGAACCGGGGGAACUGAAACAUCUAAGUACCCCGAGGAAAAGAAAUCAACCGAGAUUCCCCCAGUAGCGGCGAGCGAACGGGGAGCAGCCCAGAGCCUGAAUCAGUGUGUGUGUUAGUGGAAGCGUCUGGAAAGGCGUGCGAUACAGGGUGACAGCCCCGUACACAAAAAUGCACAUAUUGUGAGCUCGAUGAGUAGGGCGGGACACGUGGUAUCCUGUCUGAAUAUGGGGGGACCAUCCUCCAAGGCUAAAUACUCCUGACUGACCGAUAGUGAACCAGUACCGUGAGGGAAAGGCGAAAAGAACCCCGGCGAGGGGAGUGAAAAAGAACCUGAAACCGUGUACGUACAAGCAGUGGGAGCACGCUUAGGCGUGUGACUGCGUACCUUUUGUAUAAUGGGUCAGCGACUUAUAUUCUGUAGCAAGGUUAACCGAAUAGGGGAGCCGAAGGGAAACCGAGUCUUAACUGGGCGUUAAGUUGCAGGGUAUAGACCCGAAACCCGGUGAUCUAGCCAUGGGCAGGUUGAAGGUUGGGUAACACUAACUGGAGGACCGAACCGACUAAUGUUGAAAAAUUAGCGGAUGACUUGUGGCUGGGGGUGAAAGGCCAAUCAAACCGGGAGAUAGCUGGUUCUCCCCGAAAGCUAUUUAGGUAGCGCCUCGUGAAUUCAUCUCCGGGGGUAGAGCACUGUUUCGGCAAGGGGGUCAUCCCGACUUACCAACCCGAUGCAAACUGCGAAUACCGGAGAAUGUUAUCACGGGAGACACACGGCGGGUGCUAACGUCCGUCGUGAAGAGGGAAACAACCCAGACCGCCAGCUAAGGUCCCAAAGUCAUGGUUAAGUGGGAAACGAUGUGGGAAGGCCCAGACAGCCAGGAUGUUGGCUUAGAAGCAGCCAUCAUUUAAAGAAAGCGUAAUAGCUCACUGGUCGAGUCGGCCUGCGCGGAAGAUGUAACGGGGCUAAACCAUGCACCGAAGCUGCGGCAGCGACGCUGAUGCGUUGUUGGGUAGGGGAGCGUUCUGUAAGCCUGUGAAGGUGUGCUGUGAGG